rnacentral:rRNA from 1 species
UCAGGCCUAACACAUGCAAGUCGAACGGCAGCACGGGAGCUUGCUCCUGGUGGCGAGUGGCGAACGGGUGAGUAAUAUAUCGGAACGUACCCAAUAAUGGGGGACAACUAGUCGAAAGAUUAGCUAAUACCGCAUACGCCCUGAGGGGGAAAGCUGGGGAUCUUCGGACCUAGCGUUAAUGGAGCGGCCGAUAUCUGAUUAGCUAGUAGGUGAGGUAAAGGCUCACCUAGGCAUCGAUCAGUAGCUGGUCUGAGAGGACGACCAGCCACACUGGAACUGAGACACGGUCCAGACUCCUACGGGAGGCAGCAGUGGGGAAUUUUGGACAAUGGGCGCAAGCCUGAUCCAGCCAUUCCGCGUGAGUGAAGAAGGCCUUCGGGUUGUAAAGCUCUAUGGCAAGGGAAGAAAACUUAACCUCUAACAUAGGUUGAGG